rnacentral:rRNA from 1 species
UGCUGAAUUAUUCGCCAAUGCGCGAAAGCGUGACGGUGCGACGCCGCGUGGAGGAUGAAGGCCUUCGGGUUAUAAACUCCUGUCAGGGUGUAGAAAACCGCAGACGUUAAUAGCGGCUGCGCUGAUCCCACCCAAAGGAAGCACAGGCUAACCUCGUGCCAGCAGCCGCGGUAAUACGAGGUGUGCGAGCGUUGUUCGGAAUCACUGGGCAUAAAGGGUGCGUAGGCGGCGCGGUCAGUCGGUUGUGAAAUCCUUCGGCUCAACCGGGGAAUUGCUUCCGAUACUACCGCGCUUGAGGGUGAAAGGGGCAAGCGGAAUUCCAGGUGUAGCGGUGGAAUGCGUAGAUAUCUGGGAGAACGCCGACGGCGAAGGCAGCUUGCUGGGUCACUUCUGACGCUGAGGCACGAAAGCUAGGGGAGCAAACA